CGUUCCCAACCGAAUCUCUGCUCUCUUCAUUCCCUCUCCGAGCUCCAUCUCCCUCGCGUGCUCUUUAUCUCCCUCGCGCUCUCCUCCCUCCUCGAGUUCACACUCCCUCUCCUUUCUCGUCUUCUCCCCAUCCUCCACCACAGCUUUUCUCUUCCUUCCUCUUUCUUUCUCUUUUCUUCUUCUUCUUCCUCCUCCUCCUCCUCCUCCACCUCUUCUUCUUUUCUCUGCUUUAGGUGUAGCUGCUGCCUUGAUUUGUUCUUUCAACAGAGCAGGUAAGCCUAAAAUAAUCUUUGCAUUUAGCUGAAAGUUAAUUUGUAGAUGGUAAGGUGGCAAGAGAAUUAAGGGCUAAAAGCUUAAAACGUUGGGUAGAGAAGGAUUUCGGGAGGAAAAAAAAUAUUAAGGAAAAGAAUGGUAAGGAAGGUAAGAAUGGUAAGGGGAAAAGAAUUUUAAAAGAAGAAAGAAUGAUUCUGGGAGGUGGAUGAAAAUAAGAAUGUCGAGGGGGGAAAAAUCUUAAGAGAAGAAAGAAUGGUUUUGAGAGGGUGGAUGUUAAGUUUUAGAGGUGGAUUGAUUCUGCCUUGCUUUAAUCUGUAAAUUUUACUUCCCAAACGGUUGGACCAUUUGAUCUGAAAUUUUAACCGGAGAUUGUUAACUCAUUAAUCAACUUGAAGAUAAAAUUUUAAAAUUUUUGAAUGAAUUUUAUUAAGAUAAAUAAUGAGUAGAUUAAAGCUGAAGGAAGAAAAUGAUGAAGAAGAUACAGAUUAACCUUCCUCUUUCAUUCUUCUCCUCUGAGAAAACAGAAUUAUGAGAAUUUAAGGAUUCAAAAAUUUUGAGAAAAUAUAUAACAAUUAAUUAAAAAUUUUGAUGUGACCUUGAGAAAUCUGAUCAAAUUGUUUAACUGUUGACAACUUUGAUGUAAAUAAUAUUUAUAUUAUAUAAUUAAUCAAAAUUAAAUAAGAAUUUAUAUCAUCUUUUUAAUAUGAUAUAAAUGCUUUAAUUACAUUCAGGUUUAAUCAUACAUGAAAUUUUACAUAAAAUUUUUAUAAUUAAAAAUAAUGGAUUAAUGACUUAAAUUUUAUAAGUUAAAAUAAAUGAUAUUAUAUGUUA
rnacentral:lncRNA from 1 species